rnacentral:rRNA from 1 species
UACGAAGGUGGCAAGCGUUACUCGGAAUUACUAGGCGUAAAGGGCAGGUAGGUGGUUUGGUAAGUCUAUUGUGAAAGCUCCCGGCUUAACCGGGAGAGGUCAAUGGAUACUGCCGGACUUGAGUAUAGGAGAGGUUACUGGAAUUCCCGGUGUAGCGGUGAAAUGCGCAGAGAUCGGGAGGAACACCAAUGGCGAAAGCAGGUAACUGGACUAUUACUGACACUCAGCUGCGAAAGCUAGGGGAGCAAACAGG